rnacentral:rRNA from 1 species
AACGAACGCUGGCGGCAGGCUUAACACAUGCAAGUCGAGCGCCCCGCAAGGGGAGCGGCAGACGGGUGAGUAACGCGUGGGAAUCUACCCAUCUCUACGGAAUAACGCAUGGAAACGUGUGCUAAUACCGUAUACGUCCUUCGGGAGAAAGAUUUAUCGGAGAUGGAUGGGCCCGCGUUGGAUUAGCUAGUUGGUGGGGCAAAGGCCUACCAAGGCGACGAUCCAUAGCUGGUCUGAGAGGAUGAUCAGCCACACUGGGACUGAGACACGGCCCAGACUCCUACGGGAGGCAGCAGUGGGGAAUAUUGGACAAUGGGCGCAAGCCUGAUCCAGCCAUGCCGCGUGAGUGAUGAAGGCCCUAGGGUUGUAAAGCUCUUUCACCGGUGAAGAUAAUGACGGUAACCGGAGAAGAAGCCCCGGCUAACUUCGUGCCAGCCGCCGCCAUAAAAC